UCGAGGAUCAUUCGCAAUGGGGGCAACCCUGACGAUGCGACGCUGCGUGGAGGACGAAGGCCUUCGGGUUGUAAACUCCUGUCAUGAGGGAAGAGGGGAGGGUGAGUAACACUCACGCCGACUUGACGGUACCUCAAGAGGAAGCCACGGCUAACUCUGUGCCAGCAGCCGCGGUAAUACAGAGGUGGCGAGCGUUGUUCGGAUUUACUGGGCGUAAAGGGCGCGUAGGCGGCCGUGUGUGUGGGGUGUGAAAUCUCCGGGCUCAACCCGGAAAGUGCGCCCCAAACUGCACGGCUCGAGUUCGGGAGGGGGGAUCGGAAUGCAGGGUGUAGCGGUGAAAUGCGUUGAUAUCCUGCAGAACACCGGUGGCGAAGGCGGAUCCCUGGAACGACACUGACGC
rnacentral:rRNA from 1 species